rnacentral:lncRNA from 1 species
GGCGCAGCGGGAUUGGUUGGAUCUGCGCCUGCGCAGACCGCGGGGCAGAGGCCUAUGUCGCUGAGCUCCUCGCAGGACUGGGUUGGGGCUAGCAGAAGUGGCACCAGGAAUUUGGGAAAGUGAGUUUAGUGAGUGUAGUGGGGCGGGGCGCCCCUGGGUCUCCGAUGCGGCCCCGGGCUGAGCCCUCAGUAUUUUCCUUAUAUGAUCAGGCUCCAUUACGGGCAGCUCUGCUUGCCUAGAGCCUGAGAGGAUUAUGCAAAGGUUGCUGGUGAAGAGGGGCCAGGGGACCCGGCGCAGGGAAAUGAAGGAUGAAGGUCAGCGGGCGAGGCUAGGCUGGAGGGAGGUUUAGGGAGGCCUCUGUAACUGUGAGCCCUGGCCGAUGAUGACAAGACCACUGCGCAAUCUGAGUUCUGGGAACCAGGUGAUGGAGUGUGUUCUGAGAACAGACUGAGGCCGGGCGAGCAGGAGGUGGCCUUGGCAGAGGAAAGGCUGUGAGCUCCUUAGAGCCUGGGCUUGGUUGGAUUGCGUGGCCACAGGUCGUCAGCGAUUGCUUGCCCUAGAAUCGUGCUUCAAACGUUUUGGUGGCCCUCUUAUUGGCUCUUUGUUUUUUUAAUCCAUUUUUUUUUUAAUGAUGAAAACUUUCCAACAUACAGAAAACUGAAAAGGUCAUCAAGCCAGCUUUUUUUUUUUUUUAAGUACACUGCUAUACUUCCCCUCAGGAACACUUACCUGCCUUUAGAGUUGGGUAUUCAUUUCAAAGACAAAAUUUCUUUGCAUCCAUACUUACGAAUCACAAGUUAUAUAUUCACAAAAGAUACAUUCUUGUACACAUUCCUUUAUUCAGUUUGCCUUCCACAUAUUUAGGAAAGGAUAAAUACCACAAUUUCCCAUUCAUUCUGCAAAUCCCCAUCAGCAGGUACUUACAAAUUGUACUGUUUUCUCUGACUACAAAUGUUACUAAUGAGUAGAUCUUAAAAACAUUAAAGGUUAACAUAUAUCAACAUAUGUAAGGAUAUUCACACAAUUCCUUUCAGAAGAGGAGCUGUCACAAUGUGGAAAUUUUGUGGAUAUCACUUUAACCAAAUGAUAAGCUUGGCAUCAUCAAUAAUGGGCAAACUGACAUCCUCUUGCUAAAUAGAGAACAUACCACCCUUAUGUAAGACCCCCUUCCCCCAUGGCCUGAAUCUCAUCAUAAGACGAAUCCAAAUUGAGGGACAUUCUGCAAAACAACUGACCUGAAUUCUUCAAAAAUGUCAAUGUGGUGAAAAACAGAAAAGAGUGGGAAUGGUAUUUGAUUAAAGGAGACUAGAAAUGUGACAAUUUAAUGUGUGAUAUUAAUUGGAAUCUGGCUUUAAAAGCUCGAAAGGAUGGGAUGAAGACAAUUAGGAAAACAAAUAUAAAUCAUCCAGAGAUAGUAGUACUGACUUUAAAUUUCCUGAUUAUGAAAAUUAUGAUUAUGAUAAUUUUGUUAAAAUGCAGGAGACUGUCUUUUGUUUUUAGCAGAUAAACAAAUAUUUAGAAGUGAAGAAUUUGAUAUCUGCAACUCAUUCUCAAAAGACUAAAAAAUGUAUAUAAGGAAACUAGUAAAGAAAGAGAAUGCAAGUAUGCAAAAUUACUGAUUGGGGAAUCUAAUGGAGAGUAUAUGUUAAUUGUUCCAUUUUUAUAAGUUUUCUGU